rnacentral:rRNA from 1 species
UACGGAGGAUGCGAGCNUUAUCCGGAUUUAUUGGGUUUAAAGGGUGCGCAGGCGGGCUAUUAAGUCAGCGGUGAAAUAUUCAGGCUCAACCUGAAGACUGCCGUUNAAACUGUUAGCCUUGAGUAUAGAUGAAGUAGGCGGAAUUCGUUGUGUAGCGGUGACAUGCUUAGAUAUAACGAGGAACUCCGAUUGCGUAGGCAGCUUACUAAACUAUAACUGACGNUCAUGCACGAAAGCNUGGGGAUCAAACAGGAUUAGAUACCCUGGUAGUCCACGCCGUAAACGAUGAUUACUAGUUGCAUGCGAUAUGAUAGUAUGUGACCAAGCG